UACGUAGGGGGCAAGCGUUGUCCGGAUUUAUUGGGCGUAAAGAGCGUGUAGGCGGCUAGAUAGGUCCGCCGUGAAAACUCGAGGCUUAACCUCGAGACGUCGAUGGAAACCGUAUGGCUAGAGUCCGGAAGAGGAGAGUGGAAUUCCUGGUGUAGCGGUGAAAUGCGCAGAUAUCAGGAAGAACACCCGUGGCGAAGGCGGCUCUCUGGGACGGUACUGACGCUGAGACGCGAAAGCGUGGGGAGCGAACAGG
rnacentral:rRNA from 1 species